rnacentral:lncRNA from 1 species
CCAUUUGCAGGUAGCGCUGAUGGAGCACUGCAAAAAUCCUUCCAUGUCGGGAGACAAGUGCCAUCAUUACCGAGUGUCCAAUCUGAUAGGCGGAUUCAGAAACAGUAUGUAUGCCUUUUGGUCAUAUUUAUGUCUGCGAAAUGUUCCUAUUUUGUUUCACUUGGCUUAACUAUAAUGUGGUCAUUUAGUUAUUUUCUAAUGUAACAUUUAGACACUACUUAUGUAAAACUGUAAAGGGAGAAUUAGCUGACAUGUUAGUUAUGUGACAAAGACAAUGUAGUUGUUUGAUGAAUGUUAAGCAAAAAGGUAGGCUUACAGGGAACACCUGGUACUAAUGCAUGUCAAUAACUUGUUGUGCAAGUACUUAUGUUCAUCUUCUCUUAUUUAUGUUUACAGUUUUGCAGCAAAUUCCCCUUCAAAAAGUGUUGCAGAAAUUUUUGGGAAACAACACUACAAAUAACAUCAAAUUUCGUUUUCAGUUCCUAAAUCUGACUAUUUUUUUUCGUCCACCAGCCUCCCAUGUCGCGAUCCAUCCCGCGGUCGGAUGCAGAUCAAAUCCUUGGGUGCUGACCGAGGGAUCAUCACGCGCGGCCAUGGCAAUCAACAUCAGCAGUUCUCGACAAAGACCACGACGGCCCUAAGCGAUGCCUGGUCCAUGACGCCAACCGAGUUGCGCCCUCUGACAUUGUCGAGUCAGCUGCAAGUGCAGAGUCUUACUCUGAACCCAUGCUUCGACUAUCUCCAAUAACCUAUCCAUUUCGGGCUUUCCAGAUAUAUAAGAAAAUUUAUUUGUCAGACACAAUUUAGAAUGAAACAAUUAUUAUAGAAAUAGGUAAGUGAAAUCUGUUUUAGUCUCAUCAACAUGUUCCGUUGAGUGUCACCGUUCACCAGUUUAAGUGUUUU